AUCCCAGCAGCCAAUCCCUCUCCCUCAGACUGCUGUAGGCAGCUCAUUUGGCUCUCUAGGACCCAACCCUGCUCUUACAUGCUCCACUGCUUCCCGUCCGUCCCAGCUCCCAGCAGAGUGGUGCCCCAGACAUACUGGUGCCCUAUGCUGCCUACGGCUAAGGAUAGCCCUGCAUAUCAGAGACUGUAAAACUAAUGGGGAAAGCAGCAGUUGAAGAAACAAGAUUGAAGAACUGCAAAGAUAUUCAAGAUUCAGGCAGAAAAGAAGGCUUAAGCACCCCCACAGUGUUUCUAACCCUUCAUGGAAAUGAAGCUGAACCAAACCCCUGCCUCAGAAAACCCCAAAACAUAGGCAAAGUUUCAUUCUGCACCCAAAACUGAGAGAGAUCUUCUGUGGCUUGAAGAAGGUCGGAGGCUCCUUCCGGAGCUGUUCUGUCUGUGCCCCUGACCCAUGAAAUCCUACAAUUGAUCUUAAGUGAUGGGAAGGGUCUUGCAUAGUCCAUCUACACCUUGGUGAACUUCCCCCUGUGUGUUUGUACUGAUAAGGACACUAGAUACUAUAAUUUCUCUUAAAUUUAAUUUAAAGACAUUAUCAUAUCAACUGAACAUUUGUAUCUUAUACAAAUACUCCCUCUGCCUAGCCUGCUUUAUAUCAUUCUCAUUGAUAAUCCCUAUAAUGUCGUAAUAGUUAUGUAACCUAGGUACUAUAAGCAUUGCUAUUAUAGAUCUAUUAAGGGAAUUUUGAAGUGACAAUCUGUGCUGCAGGGAAUCACCACUUUUAAAAAGUGUAGGGUAAAGCUUUGGAGGGGGAAAAGAGAGCCAGUAUAUCAUAUGUAUAUUUUGUCACUCUGGCUACAGAAGCAAACAGCAUCAAUGAAAUUGUAUUUGACCAGAGUAAGAGUUAGAGGAAUGCAACAACUU
rnacentral:lncRNA from 1 species